UUAUUUCUGGGAAGUCAAGUUUUGCCAUUUAUUGCACAUUUAUGAUUCAUGUAAACAUCUUUAACUGAAGAAGUUUCAUGGCAAUGUUUACCUGGGCACGCUGAGCAAGAUGAAUUUUGACAGUGUUCUGUUGUCAAAGGGACUGGCAGGAAAAGAUAUGCUGCCACCCAGAUGUUCUUAACCAGGCCAAUGGGUUUCUGUUGGAAUUUCUACAAUUAUUUGGUAACCAGCAAACUCUUGGUAUAUAAAGGUUCUGUCAAAGACCCUGACCUAGAUCUACACUCAAACUUUGAUGCUUUGCAGUGAUGGGGCUCACCGACAGGCGGUUUUUUGAUAUCCCAAGGACACAACCAAGAAGACAAGCAUGACUUCUGAGCCUUUGUGGCCCUGCAGUGGAGUUGAUUCUGUGCUUAGGCCACUGACUGAAGCAUCGUAAGAGAAAACAGAACAUCAGGAACAGUGGAUUAGCUGUCUGGGGCAUUAUAGUCAGAUCGUACUCUUUCUCUCUCUUUUUCUUUCGUUGGUUGGGGAAAGUUUCUUGCUGAUUUUCGAGUUGCAGAACUUGGAAAAAAAAGUGACACAGCAAACUUUAACACCGUAAACUAGCGAGUUGUUUGUUUUUGUUGGUCUCCCUUCCCGCCAUUAAAGGGUGACAGCUCUCUGCCCUUUUAUUAGAGAAAGAGACAGAACCUAUGUUAUGUUGAAAUGUCUGGUGAACAAUUAAUUUUUGUUGUACUGUAGAUCAUGGCCUUUCUUGGGAGCUUUGCUAUUGUUUGCUUUCUGGG